GACGAACGCUGGCGGCGUGCUUAACACAUGCCAGUCGAACGGAAAGGCCCUGCUUUUGUGGGGUGCUCGAGUGGCGAACGGGUGAGUAACACGUGAGUAACCUGCCCUUGACUUUGGGAUAACUUCAGGAAACUGGGGCUAAUACCGGAUAGGAGCUCCUGCUGCAUGGUGGGGGUUGGAAAGUUUCGGCGGUUGGGGAUGGACUCGCGGCUUAUCAGCUUGUUGGUGGGGUAGUGGCUUACCAAGGCUUUGACGGGUAGCCGGCCUGAGAGGGUGACCGGCCACAUUGAGACUGAGAUACGGCCCAGACUCCUACGGGAGGCAGCAGUGGGGAAUACUGCACAAUGGGCGGAAGCCUGAUGCAGCAGCGCCGCGUGCGGGAUGACGGCCUUCGGGUUGUAAACCGCUUUCGCCUGUGACGAAGCGUGAGUGACGGUAAUGGGUAAAGAGGCACCGGCUAACUACGUG
rnacentral:rRNA from 1 species